AGUUCUGUUGAAUGGGGAAGUUUCACAAGACAUCUGUGCAAGGUAUAAAUACAGGUACAUGAACUGUGUCUCAGAAACAGCAGCACAGGGUGGGAGAAGCACCACCAGCAAUCCCUGUCCGAGACGCUGGCAACAAGGGAGACCAAAGACUUUUGCAACUGUCCAGCUGAAGCUGCAAAGCAUCUGGGAGGAGGCACAGAUGGGACAGCACCUAGACUGACAACCAGGCUGUCAUCCAGCUCCCACAGCAAGAAAUCUGAACUACAGAAGUCCUUCUGAGAUGGGA